rnacentral:rRNA from 1 species
ACACAUGCAAGUCGAGGGGCAGCGGGGAAAAGCUUGCUUUUCCGCCGGCGACCGGCGCACGGGUGCGCACCGCGUAUGGAACCUGCCUUGUACAGGGGAAUAGCCCAGGGAAACUUGGAUUAAUGCCCCGUAGUACCGUAUUUCGGCAUCGUUAUACGGUUAAAGCCUUCGGGCGGUACAAGAUGGCCAUGCGUCCCAUUAGCUUGUUGGUAAGGUAACGGCUUACCAAGGCUACGAUGGGUAGGGGCCCUGAGAGGGGGAUCCCCCACACUGGUACUGAGACACGGACCAGACUCCUACGGGAGGCAGCAGUGAGGAAUAUUGGACAAUGGAGGGGACUCUGAUCCAGCCAUGCCGCGUGCAGGAAGAAUGCCCUAUGGGUAGUAAACUGCUUUUAUACGGGAAGAAAAAGAGCUACGUGUAGCUUACUGACGGUACCGUAAGAAUAAGGACCGGCUAACUCCGUGCCAGCAGCCGCGGUAAUACGGAGGGUCCGAGCGUUAUCCGGAAUUAUUGGGUUUAAAGGGUCCGUAGGCGGGCCGAUAAGUCAGGGGUGAAAGUCUGCCGCUCAACGGUAGAACUGCCUUUGAUACUGUCGGUCUUGAGUUAUAGUGAAGUUGCCGGAAUAUGUAGUGUAGCGGUGAAAUGCAUAGAUAUUACAUAGAACACCGAUUGCGAAGGCAGGUGACUAACUAUAUACUGACGCUGAUGGACGAAAGCGUGGGGAGCGAACAGGAUUAGAUACCCUGGUAGUCCACGCCGUAAACGAUGGAUACUAGCUGUCCGGGGCCUUGAGUUCUGGGCGGCCAAGCGAAAGUGAUAAGUAUCCCACCUGGGGAGUACGUUCGCAAGAAUGAAACUCAAAGGAAUUGACGGGGGCCCGCACAAGCGGUGGAGCAUGUGGUUUAAUUCGAUGAUACGCGAGGAACCUUACCAGGGCUUAAAUGCAUAUUGACAGGGUCAGAGAUGACUUUUCCUUCGGGCAAUUUGCAAGGUGCUGCAUGGUUGUCGUCAGCUCGUGCCGUGAGGUGUCAGGUUAAGUCCUAUAACGAGCGCAACCCCUACCGUUAGUUGCCAGCAUGUCAUGAUGGGGACUCUAACGGGACUGCCGGUGCAAACCGUGAGGAAGGUGGGGAUGACGUCAAAUCAUCACGGCCCUUACGUCCUG